AGCUUGUUAGUUUAUUUUAAAAUUGUUGUUUGUGGUACAAAGGAAGUAAGAGCUA
rnacentral:tRNA from 1 species